GAUGAAGAACGCAGCGAAAUGCGAUAAGUAAUGUGAAUUGCAGAAUUCAGUGAAUCAUCGAAUCUUUGAACGCACAUUGCGCCCGCCAGUAUUCUGGCGGGCAUGCCUGUUCGAGCGUCAUUUCAACCCUCAGGGCCCUUUUGGACCUGGCGUUGGGGCUCGGCCGCUACCCUGCGGCCGUCCCCGAAAGAUAGUGGCGGUCUCGCUGUAGCCUCCUCUGCGUAGUAGUUACAUCUCGCAAUGGAACGCGGCGCGGCCAUGCCGUUAAACACCCCACUUCUCAAGGUUGACCUCGGAUCAGGUAGGAAUACCCGCUGAACUUAAGCAUAUCAAUAAGCGGAGGA
rnacentral:misc_RNA from 1 species